rnacentral:rRNA from 1 species
UACGUUGGGUGCGAGCGUUGUCCGGAAUUAUUGGGCGUAAAGAGCUCGUAGGCGGUGUGUCGCGUCGGUCGUGAAAACUUGGGGCUUAACCCUGAGCGUGCGGUCGAUACGGGCAUCACUUGAGUUCGGCAGGGGAGACUGGAAUUCCUGGUGUAGCGGUGAAAUGCGCAGAUAUCAGGAGGAACACCGGUGGCGAAGGCGGGUCUCUGGGCCGGCACUGACGCUGAGGAGCGAAAGCGUGGGGAGCAAACAGG